rnacentral:tRNA from 1 species
GAGGGUAUAGCUCAAGUGGUAGAGCAUAUGCUUAGCAUGCAUGAAGCCCUGGGUUCAAUCCCCAGUACCUCUU